rnacentral:lncRNA from 1 species
CUCCAGUGUAGAGACCAUUUAGCAACAGGUAGCAUUCGGCAUUUCCUGUGUGCUGGGCGCUCCACGGGGGCCUGUGCGCUUCCCACAGCUGGGUAUUUCUUGUUGGUUUGUCUCAUAUAGGCCAGGGUGUGGAAUGCUGAAAGAACUGUGCAUGGGAGCAGAUCUGCACCAACGGGUGUGCUCAGAGUCGCACAGUGGGAAGACGGGGCUGCUGUCACCCUUAUUCCUGUGUUAGAGAAGAAACCAAGACUCCGGAGAUCACACAGCCUGUCUGACAGCAGGAGGCAGGCGACAGAACUAGAAACCAGGAUCCAAGCGGUGUGACUGCUGCAGUUCAGGUCUCAAAUGUCCCCAAAGGCCGGAUGUGCCAGGCUGGGCCCCCGGGGGAGUUCGGUCACAGGUUCGUGCCCUUGGAGGACUUUGGGAGCUGCCUCUUUCUCACUCUGCUCCCAGGUCCCCAGAGGGUGAGCAGCUCUCCCAGGACACCUUGUGCCAUGCCAUGCUGCUUCCACAGGCCGAGCACAGGGCUAAGCUGGCUUGGGCAGAACUUUUCAUUUUAAUAAGUUGGCUCCCUCAGGUGUUUUGUUACGGUGAUGGAUAAAAGCAGACUCACCUGGAACCUCCCGAGUGUGGGAAUUACAGGUAUGCACCACCGAGGCCGGCUCAGCAUGGAUUCUAAACUCAUCACCAGGCUGGGAUCCACGCAGAAUGGGGUGAGGAGACCCCGUCGGAGAGUGGGAGCAUCGGGGUGACUGAUGAUGUCUUCCUCACAGGGGACCUGGGGGAGGCUGGAGGCCACCAGCCACCUCAGGACUGCUGGGCCCUGUCGGCAUGGGCUUGGCAUCCUGUUGUCCCAGUAUGGCCCGGUCAGCGGGUCCCAGGGGCCCCCUGGUGUGGCCUCUCUGGUGCUCUGUCCAUGUGCGCUGGGCCAUCUGUCAUGGGUUCACAGUCCCAGUAAACAGCAGUUUGGUUUCUUGAAUCAUGGCUUUCAGACUGGAGCUAAUUGUCACAAGGUUGUUCCUCAUUAGUAAAAUGCCUGUUGUUAGAGAAA